AUUGAACGCUGGCGGCAUGCUUUACACAUGCAAGUCGGGCGGCAGCGCGGGGGCAACCCUGGCGGCGAGCGGCGAACGGGUGAGUAACACAUCGGAACGUGCCCAAUCGUGGGGGGAUAACGUAGCGAAAGCUACGCUAAUACCGCAUACGAUCUACGGAUGAAAGCGGGGGAUCGCAAGACCUCGCGCGAAUGGAGCGGCCGAUGGCAGAUUAGGUAGUUGGUGGGGUAAAGGCUCACCAAGCCGACGAUCUGUAGCUGGUCUGAGAGGACGACCAGCCACACUGGGACUGAGACACGGCCCAGACUCCUACGGGAGGCAGCAGUGGGGAAUUUUGGACAAUGGGCGCAAGCCUGAUCCAGCCAUUCCGCGUGCAGGAUGAAGGCC
rnacentral:rRNA from 1 species